CUUUGGUGAAGUCCAGCCCCCUAGUGCUGCAGGCAAUACAAGAAUAAACAGGAGUUAUCCAAAGUCCUGAAAUGGCUCAGAGGGAAAAUAGCAGGAUACGGUCCAGAAGAACCACAGUUCAAAUCCCCUAUCGGGCGCUUCCGGAGCGACCACGUCUGGCAGACUGGAUGUCACGGCGUGAACCGUGACAGUACCCCCCCGUCAAGAACGCCCUCCGGGCGUGAACAGGCUCUUCCUGGAAAUGGU